CUCGCGCGUGGCGUUCGGGCAUGCAUCGAGUCUACUCAGUUUAUUAUUAUGACAUCAUAAUAAUAAACUGAGUAGACUCGAUGCACGCCCGAGCGCCACGCGCGA